AGCUAACCGCCUCGCGAGGUAGCCUGCGUGCAGUCCCAGUUCCUUUGGAGUCUGGGACUGCACGCAGGCUACUCGCGAGGCGGUUAGCUCAGCAAGUUGCUCU